rnacentral:rRNA from 1 species
UGCCAGCCGCCGCGGUAAUACGGAGGGACCUAGCGUAGUUCGGAAUUACUGGGCGUAAAGCGCGCGUAGGUGGUUUAUUAAGUUGGAUGUGAAAUCCCCGGGCUCAACCUGGGAACUGCAUUUGAAACUGGUAAACUAGAGUAUGGUAGAGGAAAGUGGAAUUUCUGGUGUAGCGGUGAAAUGCGUAGAUAUCAGAAGGAACAUCAAUGGCGAAGGCAGCUUUCUGGACCAAUACUGACGCUGAGGUACGAAAGCGUGGGUAGCAAACAGGAUUAGAUA